UUGAAAGAUGGUUUCGGCUAUCACUUUAGGAUGGACCCGCGGUGCAUUAGUUAGUUGGUGAGGUAAAGGCUCACCAAGACCGUGAUGCAUAGCCGACCUGAGAGGGUAAUCGGCCACACUGGGACUGAGACACGGCCCAGACUCCUACGGGAGGCAGCAGUAGGGAAUCUUCCACAAUGGACGAAAGUCUGAUGGAGCAACGCCGCGUGAGUGAAGAAGGUUUUCGGAUCGUAAAACUCUGUUGUUGGAGAAGAAUGUAUCUGAUAGUAACUGAUCAGGUAGUGACGGUAUCCAACCAGAAAGCCACGGCUAACUACGUGCCAGCAGCCGCGGUAAUACGUAGGUGGCAAGCGUUGUCCGGAUUUAUUGGGCGUAAAGCGAGCGCAGGCGGUUUCUUAAGUCUGAUGUGAAAGCCUUCGGCUCAACCGAAGAAGUGCAUCGGAAACUGGGAAACUUGAGUGCAGAAGAGGACAGUGGAACUCCAUGUGUAGCGGUGAAAUGCGUAGAUAUAUGGAAGAACACCAGUGGCGAAGGCGGCUGUCUGGUCUGUAACUGACGCUGAGGCUCGAAAGCAUGGGUAGCAAACAGGAUUAGAUACCCUGGUAGUCCAUGCCGUAAACGAUGAGUGCUAGGUGUUGGAGGGUUUCCGCCCUUCAGUGCCGCAGCUAACGCAUUAAGCACUCCGCCUGGGGAGUACGACCGCAAGGUUGAAACUCAAAGGAAUUGACGGGGGCCCGCACAAGCGGUGGAGCAUGUGGUUUAAUUCGAAGCAACGCGAAGAACCUUACCAGGUCUUGACAUCCUUUGACCACUCUAGAGAUAGAGCUUUCCCUUCGGGGACAAAGUGACAGGUGGUGCAUGGUUGUCGUCAGCUCGUGUCGUGAGAUGUUGGGUUAAGUCCCGCAACGAGCGCAACCCUUAUUACUAGUUGCCAGCAUUAAGUUGGGCACUCUAGUGAGACUGCCGGUGACAAACCGGAGGAAGGUGGGGACGACGUCAAAUCAUCAUGCCCCUUAUGACCUGGGCUACACACGUGCUACAAUGGAUGGUACAACGAGUUGCGAGACCGCGAGGUUUAGCUAAUCUCUUAAAACCAUUCUCAGUUCGGAUUGUAGGCUGCAACUCGCCUACAUGAAGCCGGAAUCGCUAGUAAUCGCGGAUCAGCAUGCCGCGGUGAAUACGUUCCCGGGCCUUGUACACACCGCCCGUCACACCAUGAGAGUUUGUAACACCCAAAGCCGGUGAGGUAACCCUUCGGGGAGCCAGCCGUCUAAGGUGGGACAGAUGAUUAGGGUGAAGUCGUAACAAGGUAGCCGUAGGAGAACCUGCGGCUGGAUCACCUCCUUUCUA
rnacentral:rRNA from 2 species